rnacentral:tRNA from 1 species
GCGGACGUGGUGGAAUUGGUAUACACAACAGACUUAAAAUCUGUCGCUCCUGGAGCAUGCGGGUUCAAGUCCCGCCGUCCGCACCA